ensembl:lncRNA
AUGUUCAGUCAGUGUGCCCCCAGCCACGUCCAGUCUGUGUGCCCCCAGCCACGUCCAGUCUGUGUGCCCCCAGCCACGUCCAGUCUGUGUGCCCCCAGCCACGUCCAGUCUGUAUGCCCCCAGCCACGUCCAGUCUGUGUGCCCCCAGCCACGUCCAGUCUGUGUGCCCCCAGCCACGUCCAGUCUGUGUGCCCCCAGCCACGUCCAGUCUGUGUGCCCCCAGCCACGUCCAGUCUGUGUGCCCCCAGCCACGUCCAGUCUGUGUGCCCCCAGCCACGUCCAGUCUGUGUGCCCCCAGCCACGUCCAGUCUGUGUGCCCCCAGCCACGUCCAGUCUGUGUGCCCCCAGCCACGUCCAGUCUGUGUGCCCCCAGCCACGUCCAGUCUGUGUGCCCCCAGCCACGUCCAGUCUGUGUGCCCCCAGCCACGUCCAGUCUGUGUGCCCCCAGCCACGUCCAGUCUGUGUGCCCCCAGCCACGUCCAGUCUGUGUGCCCCCAGCCACGUCCAGUCUGUGUGCCCCCAGCCACGUCCAGUCUGUGUGCCCCCAGCCACGUCCAGUCAGUGUGCCCCCAGCCACGUCCAGUCAGUGUGCCCCCAGCCACGUCCAGUCUGUGUGCCCCCAGCCACGUCCAGUCAGUGUGCCCCCAGCCACGUCCAGUCUGUGUGCCCCCAGCCACGUCCAGUCAGUGUGCCCCCAGCCACGUCCAGUCAGUGUGCCCCCAGCCACGUCCAGUCAGUGUGCCCCCAGCCACGUCCAGUCAGUGUGCCCCCAGCCACGUCCAGUCAGUGUGCCCCCAGCCACGUCCAGUCAGUGUGCCCCCAGCCACGUCCAGUCAGUGUGCCCCCAGCCACGUCCAGUCAGUGUGCCCCCAGCCACGUCCAGUCUGUGUGCCCCCAGCCACGUCCAGUCUGUGUGCCCCCAGCCACGUCCAGUCAGUGUGCCCCCAGCCACGUCCAGUCAGUGUGCCCCCAGCCACGUCCAGUCAGUGUGCCCCCAGCCACGUCCAGUCAGUGUGCCCCCAGCCACGUCCAGUCAGUGUGCCCCCAGCCACGUCCAGUCUGUGUGCCCCCAGCCACGUCCAGUCUGUGUGCCCCCAGCCACGUCCAGUCUGUGUGCCCCCAGCCACGUCCAGUCUGUGUGCCCCCAGCCACGUCCAGUCAGUGUGCCCCCAGCCACGUCCAGUCAGUGUGCCCCCAGCCACGUCCAGUCAGUGUGCCCCCAGCCACGUCCAGUCAGUGUGCCCCCAGCCACGUCCAGUCAGUGUGCCCCCAGCCACGUCCAGUCUGUGUGCCCCCAGCCACGUCCAGUCUGUGUGCCCCCAGCCACGUCCAGUCAGUGUGCCCCCAGCCACGUCCAGUCAGUGUGCCCCCAGCCACGUCCAGUCUGUGUGCCCCCAGCCACGUCCAGUCAGUGUGCCCCCAGCCACGUCCAGUCAGUGUGCCCCCAGCCACGUCCAGUCAGUGUGCCCCCAGCCACGUCCAGUCAGUGUGCCCCCAGCCACGUCCAGUCAGUGUGCCCCCAGCCACGUCCAGUCAGUGUGCCCCCAGCCACGUCCAGUUAGUGUGCCCCCAGCCACGUCCAGUCAGUGUGCCCCCAGCCACGUCCAGUCAGUGUGCCCCCAGCCACGUCCAGUCAGUGUGCCCCCAGCCACGUCCAGUCAGUGUGCCCCCAGCCACGUCCAGUCAGUGUGCCCCCAGCCACGUCCAGUCAGUGUGCCCCCAGCCACGUCCAGUCAGUGUGCCCCCAGCCACGUCCAGUCAGUGUGCCCCCAGCCACGUCCAGUCAGUGUGCCCCCAGCCACGUCCAGUCAGUGUGCCCCCAGCCACGUCCAGUCAGUGUGCCCCCAGCCACGUCCAGUCAGUGUGCCCCCAGCCACGUCCAGUCAGUGUGCCCCCAGCCACGUCCAGUCAGUGUGCCCCCAGCCACGUCCAGUCAGUGUGCCCCCAGCCACGUCCAGUCAGUGUGCCCCCAGCCACGUCCAGUCUGUGUGCCCCCAGCCACGUCCAGUCUGUGUGCCCCCAGCCACGUCCAGUCUGUGUGCCCCCAGCCACGUCCAGUCUGUGUGCCCCCAGCCACGUCCAGUCAGUGUGCCCCCAGCCACGUCCAGUCAGUGUGCCCCCAGCCACGUCCAGUCAGUGUGCCCCCAGCCACGUCCAGUCUGUGUGCCCCCAGCCACGUCCAGUCAGUGUGCCCCCUCUGUAAACCACCGCUGA